CUGGGCCGGGCUAUUUAUACAGCUUGGCGCUGCCGUCACGGAGAGCCGUUUCGCUGACGAGGGAUUGACGCUCUUGGCUGCCGGAGCCGCGCUUGCGGUUACAAAGGGCGCUUUUGUGUGAAAGCGACUCCGGGGGCUUGGAAGAAACGGCGGGGAAAGGAAGGGGGGAAGACCGUCGCCCUUUGGCCGCCCCGUUUGCAACCCCGAAAUCUUCCUCCGAAGAGGCUGGCCGCGGCGGAGAGUCGUCAUCCCCCCCCCCCACUACUCCCCAUCCACCCACCCCACUUCCCGGAGGUGUUGUUAGUCCGCUUUGCCUCUGAAGCGAAAAGGUUGCACCCUGGAAUGGAGAGAGUUUUAGCCACCGGUUUGGAAGAAAAAGAAAGAAAGAAAGAAAGAAAGAAAGAAAGAAAGAAAGAAAGAAAGAAAGAAAGAAAGAAAGAAAAAGAGGGCGAGGGAAGCGGGCAUUUGGCAGAAAAAAAAAAACACCGGGCUUCUGGCGGAGCCCCAGGGCAAAGAAAAAAAAGGUGACCCUUAUGUUUUAAGAACAGAAAAUUGAAGAGCUUUUCCUCAAAACAAUCCAGAAGAUUAACAUUAUUUUUAAUCUCCCAAGUUAACUUGUUCCGAAAUACGCUUUGCUGAGAUACUGUUAGGUCACGAGAGUGGUUCUCAACCUACAGUGGCAUUUGGGGCUAAAAUUGUUCUUCGCAACCAGAAUUCCAGAUGCUGUCAGUGUGGAGAUGAAGGAGAUGUUUUUCUUCUGCAGGAAUUCCACAGAAGGUCGAAUUGCUCUUCCUUUAUCAUUCCAGGUCUAGAGAGAGAAUCUCUUACACUGACUUCUCUGUACAAGUAUUUAGGUUAUCCAAAGGCGUGAUUUUGCUACCUCUACAAAACUGUUUGCAUUCAUUUAACGUAGACUUCUUUCUGAGGCCUGGAGCCAUGGAUGUUUGUUCUCUCUCUUCUUUUUUUCACAUCAUUACUCUGAUACUGCUUGAUUAGCUCCCUCCCCAGUCAUGAUUGGUAAUUAAAAUAGGCAUUAAAAUUAGUCACUUAGCAAUUUUGCUGUUCAAUUGGCAAUUAAAUUACUUAAUUGCAAUUAAAGUCCUAAUUUUAAUUGGCAAAAUGAUAGAUGUAGAUUUAAGAUAAUAUGUAUAAAUACUUUAAUAAGUGUCUAUAUAAGGAUUACUUAAUUACUCAACUUGAAGUUUAUGUUGUUAACUUCAAAACUUUAAAAUGAGCAAUGAAAUUUUAUAUUACUUGGAUUCUAAAGCUAUGGUAAUUAAAUAUGUACCUAACAAUAUAAGGGCCAAACUAUGUUUCUUCUAUAAUGUUGCAAAUAUAGCAUGGGAAACUCUUUAUGAUAAUCAGAAAAGCAAAGCAUAUUGCUUAUUUUAAAAGCAUUUAAAUCAAUAAAUCAUAUUCAAAAGUAAAUAUGUCUUGGGGAUAUUAUGCAAAUAACAGUUUAAAGAGAGUGUAACUAAAACAGGAGGAAAGUAUUACUUUGUCAAGAACUGUAACUGAAAUAAUAUUGAUGCAAAAAGAGAUUGUUGCUUUUUUUGUAAUUAACAUUCAUUCCAUACUGAGAUGUUGGCAUCAGCAGAAAUCGCAACUAAUAUUUAAAACUAUAGUAUUGUAUCUUUGCAUGAAUGGAUUUUUAAAUCCAUUGUGUCUUUGAUUAAUUGCCCUAAAUAGGGCAUUCUGGCAGAUUUAUCAUGGUAUUUGAGGAGAGGGU